rnacentral:rRNA from 1 species
UACGGGGGGGGGCAAGCGUUGUUCGGAAUUACUGGGCGUAAAGGGUGCGUAGGCGGUCUGUUAAGUUGGAUGUGAAAACUCUGGGCUCAACCCAGAGCCUGCAUCCAAAACUGGCAGGCUAGAGUUCUGGAGGGGGUAGCGGAAUUCCUGGUGUAGCGGUGAAAUGCGUAGAUAUCAGGAGGAACACCGGUGGCGAAGGCGGCUCACUGGCCCGGUACUGACGCUGAGGUGCGAAAACGUGGGGGAGCAAACAGG